rnacentral:pre_miRNA from 1 species
AGGAGGAACAACCACAGUGGCAGCGGCCCACUCUGGAGCCCUGGAUUCAGCUCCCACAGUAAUUAUGGAGCUCUCAGUCUGCAGGGGCCUGGAUGCUUCGUGGCAGG